UACGUAGGGUGCAAGCGUUGUCCGGAAUUAUUGGGCGUAAAGAGCUCGUAGGUGGUUUGUCGCGUUGUUCGUGAAAACCGGGGGCUUAACCCUCGGCGUGCGGGCGAUACGGGCAGACUUGAGUACUGCAGGGGAGACUGGAAUUCCUGGUGUAGCGGUGGAAUGCGCAGAUAUCGGGAAGAACACCCGUGGCGAAGGCGGCUCUCUGGGACGGUACUGACGCUGAGACGCGAAAGCGUGGGGAGCGAACAGG
rnacentral:rRNA from 1 species